UGGGUUGUCGUUCAAUUGGCAGGACGGCGGAUUCUGACUCCGCUAAUCAAGGUUCAAGUCCUUGCAACCCAGCCA
rnacentral:tRNA from 2 species